rnacentral:rRNA from 1 species
UACGUAGGGUGCGAGCGUUGUCCGGAAUUAUUGGGCGUAAAGGGCUCGUAGGCGGUCUGUCACGUCGGGAGUGAAAACUCAGGGCUUAACCCUGAGCCUGCUUCCGAUACGGGCAGACUAGAGGUAUGCAGGGGAGAACGGAAUUCCUGGUGUAGCGGUGAAAUGCGCAGAUAUCAGGAGGAACACCGGUGGCGAAGGCAGGUCUCUGGGCCACUACUGACGCUGAGAAGCGAAAGCGUGGGGAGCGAACAGG